AGUGUAGAGUUAUUUUUGGUUCUGCUGCUGCCUUUUCUGUGUGCUGCGGAGUCUUUUUUUGGUGACCUCUGUCCUCUAUGGGCAGAGACAUGACAUAUUCAUGCCCCAUAAGAUGCCUUCCCCAAAAGGAUGCUGCCGGUAGCACUAAAACAACACCACCACAACAGAUAGAGAAAACUCCUUGUGGACUGGGUGGACGGCUUCCUGACUGCUGGGGUUUCUCACCGUGGUGUCCCCAGGGCCCACUGCAGUGUCCAGUCCACAGGCGGCCCCCAGCUGCCCCCUGAUCCAUACACCAACCGAGGUCCACAGACAGGUGUGAGGUGGCACCAGGGAGACAGGAAGAGCCGGAAGGGCACCCUCAUGGAGUCUACGGGAAAGGGCUUGAAGAGACGCGAGGCUGCGGAGACAGAAGCCUGUGGAGUGCAGUGUGUCAGAAAGAGCACUGAACUUGGAGUCAGGCAGCCAGGAUACAGUCCCAGCUCACUCUCUGCCUCUUAUUUGCAACACGCCUUCUCUGAGCCUUGAGGAGAAUAAUUCCUACUUCACGAGGUGGUUGUUGGGGUUGAUGAAAGUUAUGAAUUUGAAACAGCUUUGUAGAAUUAUAACAUACUACUCAUA